rnacentral:rRNA from 1 species
UACGUAGGGUCCGAGCGUUGUCCGGAAUUAUUGGGCGUAAAGAGCUCGUAGGCGGUUUGGUAAGUUGGAUGUGAAAUCUCCAGGCUCAACUUGGAGGGGUCAUUCGAUACUGCCAUGACUAGAGUUCGGUAGGGGAGUGUGGAAUUCCUGGUGGAGCGGUGAAAUGCGCAGAUAUCAGGAGGAACACCCGUAGCGAAGGCGGCACUCUGGGCCGGAACUGACGCUGAGGAGCGAAAGCGUGGGGAGCGAACAGG